AGCUCAUGGCAACGCUGGAUCCUUAACCCACUGAGUGAGGCCAGGGAUCGAACCCGCAACCUCAUGGUUCCUAGUCAGAUUCAUUAACCACUGAGCCAUGAUGGGAACUCCCCCCAUUAGGAUUCUUGAAAGUGCGAAUAGCCUUGGAGCCCAGCAUCUCUCCCUGCACCCCCACCCCACCCCAGGCCCCCACCCAUGGCUCUGUGGAUGCUUGGGUCCAGAAGGCACUGACAGGCUGGAACCACUAGGUGGGACAGGAGGAAAACCUAAACGAGUCAUCCGCAGAACAGCCCUAGAGGUAGGUGUUCUAAUGAUACACAUUUUACAGAGAAGGAAACUGGGGCAGGUGAGCAUGCGCCCCAAGUCUUUGGCCCUUUGUCUUGGUCCAGCUGCACCCUUCAUGUCUUCUCAUAAUGCUCUUGGGGGCUGUUUGGCCAGGCUGGGUGAGGCUGGCAACACCUUGUUCCCCUGGAGAUGGGCACCUAUCAUCCCCCCAAGGCAUGGGUUAGGUGAACUCCCAGGACAAGUGUGGCACACUCAUUGGGGACCGGCUAGGGAGCUACCUGAGUGGACAGGCAGGGUCAGCGUCCCUAUCCUGCAGUAGCAUUGCCUCAUGCAACAGCUUGUGUCCUUUGGCCACUGCUGGGUUUUCUUUGGGAUCACGACCACAGGUAGGUGGGAGACCAGAGGCCAAGGGGUGAGGUACCAAGGGGAGGCCCCCAGCCCCCACAGUGGCUGACCACCCCUGCCUGCUGUCAUUUCAGAGUUGGGAGCAUUGGGCACCCCAGUGUUCAGUAUGACCAGCCACAACUCAGCCCGUGACGUUGAAAAGAGCCUCACAGUGGACAUCACCUGAAUGAGAUGGGCAAGCCAGUCUCCAUGAAGAGACUCUGGUAGGUCUCUGCCCUUCAGAGUGUAUUCCUUGUGGUUUUGUCUUUUUUUUUUAUUCUUCUUCUUUUUGGGGCCAUACCUGCAGCAUAUGGAGGUUCCCACAUUAGGGGUUGAAUCAGAGCUGCACCUGCAGGCCUACACCAUAGUGAUAGCAACACCAGGUCAGAACUGCGCCUGUGGACUACACCACAGGUCACACCAACACCAGAUUCUUGACUCACUGAGCGAGGCCAGGGGUAGAACCCACAUCCUCACGGAUACUAGUUGGAUUAGUUUCUGCUGUACCACAGCAGGAACUCCUUGUUGUCUUUUUUAAAGUAGGACUUUUAGGUCCGGGGAGAGGCAAGCAGGCCAUGCCGGUAAAAAAGAGUCCUCAUUGAGAUUUUCUUUUUGAUCCCAGGCUAGUGAUCAAACCUGCACUGCAGCAGUGACCUGAGCUCCAUCAGUGACAAUGCUGGAUCCUUAACCCAUUGUGCCACCAGGGAACUCCUCCUCGAGGUUUCUGUGUUAUCUCACCUGCUACGAUGAAAUAGCAGUUCCUCAGUCUGGCCUUCCAGACCCUGCAGAUUCGGCCUCCAGCUCCUUUACCGAUUUGAUCCCCUGGCGGUGCUGCUCUCUCCUCCCUGAAAUGGCUUCCUUGCUGAGGCUUCUACUGUGCUUUCCUGUCUCUGCUUUCUCUUCUGCAGGCUCUACUGUCUAGGUCCCCCCCUCCCCGUUUGUUGUUUAUGUUUCUCUUUGCUGUUGAGUAACAUUCCUCACAGAGAUUUAUAUUCCUUGUUGUACGUGGCCACUGAACGCUCUGCUCGGUGUGCUUAGUGGUCAGCUAAUGAUUGGACAGGAAUUUCCAUAAACGUCUUGGACAAGUAAGGCUCAGCCUUUGCCACCAGGCUCUGUGUAAAGUUGGGGUACACACUCAGCACUCUGGCAGACAGUUUUCUGCCCUGCCUUAGCCUUCCCUUCCAUCUGUGCAGGGCCUCAGGGUCAGUCAGAGGUGAGAGCUUACAGCUUUCUAGGUCUUUCCAGAAAGACAGCGCUACAUAUGCACAUGGCUUUCCAGAUUCCUAGGAAACCCCUAUGGAUAUAAUUCAGCUUCUCCUUUUAAGUUCUUUGGUCAGUAUUGGUACUGUUGUCUCAGGCAACUUCCAUGUUACACAGCUGCUUUUUAUUAUUAUUAUUACUAUUUUUUUUAAACAAAUGCCAUUGGGUAAAGGCUGGUUAUAAGGAGUGAGCUCUGAGUCAGGUUUUAUUUGACCUGAAUAAGCCCCACAGGUGUGGUUUCCAGGGACUGCCAGAAUGACAUUUCUCUGGUGGUGGGUUUUUGAAAAGAUCCAGCCCCAUUCUGCUCCCUUCAGUGGCAGUCAGGCUGCUGGUUUUCAUUGUGAUUGUGGUGCUGGUGGAUUGCUAGGUUGCUGUGGGGCAGGGGAAAAAGGGGUGGGAACUGGCAAGUAAAAAUACCAUUAAACACUCUGUUCUCACAGAGAAUAAUUGCUCCUUGAUAGUUGCAAGCCCUGGGGUAAUUUAAAGUGUCAUGAGAAAGUUGAUUUUGAUCAUUUUUGCCAGUGAUCUCAUGGAUGUUAUGGAGGAGUGAAUUUUCAGUGUUUUUGUUGUUGUUGUUGUUUUGUUUUUUGUCUUUUUAGGGCCACACCCAUGACAUAUGGAGGUUCCUAGGUAAGGGGUCAAAUCACAGCUGUAGCCACCGGCCUACACCUCAGCCACAGCAAUAUCAGAUUUGAGCCGAGUCUGCAACCUACACCACAGUUCAUGGCAAUGCUGGAUCUUUAACCCACUGAGCAAGGCCAGGGAUCAAACCUGUGUCCUCAGGGAUGCUAGUCAGAUUAAUUUCUGUUGAGCCAUGACCAGAACUCCUUCCAGUGGGCUUUAUUCUGCCAUUCCCACUGAUGUCAGAAUGUGUUAUUGUUCAGGAAUGGUGAUUUGAAUACCCCUCUGUGUGAAUUCACAGCCCUUGGGCUCCGGGGAUGUCCCAGGAGUCCUGGAAGUGGGGCAGGCUGUUUCUACCUCUGGGGUGAGUUGGACAUUUGGCCCUUGGGGAGCACUAAGGAACUUGCUUUUUGUGUCGCUAGGCUCCCCUGGGGAGAGGGAGGUCACGAGCCACGGCUUCAUUCUCCUCAGUUAGGAGAGAGGGUACAAACUACCCCGAUGGAGGGCCGCCUUCAGAUGUGGUCCAGGCAAAUCCUGUGCUGCUGGGAAACCCUAUGAAGUUCACCGUCACUCCCCAGGAAAGACACCUGUCCCAGAGACUGUCACAUCUCCGGCUCCACUGAAGUGCAGAUGCAAACAGGCAAAACAAAAACCAACCAACCAACCAAACAAAAACACCAUCAGUUUGGGCGUCCUGCAUAAAGAUCAUGCAGAUGGAAAGUGAAGGUGUGGGCAGUAGGGGUGAGAAGAAGCCUUGGGCCCCAAGGGGGAUCAGAGUCCCCGCUACCUGAGGUGCCCCUCUUCUCUGUGGACUAUUUCCAUAUACCAACAAACCUUUGUGAAUAAACACAAAUAUUUAUUAAAUACCUACCCUUUGGUAGUUAUAAGGAAUCCAGGCACAGAGAAAACAUGGGCCCAAAGAGACUACUGGUCCAGGACCUGAGGUCUACCACAGUCAGAAAUUAGGUGUGCUGGAAGUAUUAUUAGAAGUCUUUUAUGAUGGCAAAGAUUCUCCCUCAAAUGCCCGCUCUAAUCAUUGGGUCAUGGGAACCCAGGCAGUUGAGGAUGGGCAGGAAGGCCUACCAAUAGCUGGUGAUGUCUCCAUGGACUCAGGAGGGAGAACUCAGCCAAUUUAUUAUUCCAUCUUGAGUCCAACUUCUUUGUUUUCUAGACAGAAGAGUCUUGCCCAAAAGUAACCCAGUUCCAUCCACCCAGAUUUAACCUAAUUUUGUGCUUGAUUAAGGCAAUUUGCGUUGGGGGGCUACAUUAAGUGACCACACCCCUUCUCUAGCUCUUUGGCAGCAUCCAAAGAGACCUUGUCUUUGGCCUCCAACACCUCUCAUGGGCACCUGACUAUGUUUGAUAAACCAAUUAGCAAAACUUUCAUAAUUGCAGAAAUUGUCGAGUCAAAGGAAACACCUGCCUCUCAGGAGUUGGUGACUUUUCAGUACCCUGGGCUCGCUGAAGAGGUGAGCUACCUACAGACAGAAAGGCCUCCUGCCUGGAGCUUGGCCUGGGCAGGGGUGGGGAGGGGCCCUAAGACCCCUGGGGGCCCGCGCUGGUUGGCUUAUUCUUCAGGUCAAUUGUAUUCCUAAGAAAAAUGGCACCUUGCUUUCCCAAAUUAGUAUUUCUGGAGAAGUGAUAAAUCGAGCAAUUUUCUUUUUUUUGGUCAACUGAAUUUUUAACAUAGAAAAUUAAAUAAUGGACCUACAUCCUGGCCUCUUUGCAGCCCCACUCAGGAUCCCUCUUCACCAAACCAAGGACCUUCCUGCAGCACCCAGCCCCAGCUGCAGCCUGUGCUUUUGAGAUGCCCACUCUAGCAGCACAGAUGGGCUCCAGGAGGCUUCCCCAGAAAAGCCCUUGAGACAAAGGACUUCGUGAAGGAGGAUUCCCAUAGAUGCUCUUCCCGUGUUCCGGAAUGCAGGUCAGGCUAGAGGCCAGCUGGGGGUGAUGUCUUGAGUUCCUUAGCAAAGAAUCUGACAAAGCUUAGCAUGUCAGGUUAUAUGUAUAUAUGAUUACUGGCAGGACCAGAAACUAAGAGGGAGGCAUGGAACAGAUUCUCCCCUCCAGCUUUCAGAGACACACUCGCGCCGCGCGCACACACACGCACACGCAGAAUUGGCCACUCAUCGGCACUAGCAACUUCAAGAAUGCCCUGCACAUCCCUUUGACGGACACCAACUUCUCUGUGGAAAGCCUGGCCAUCUCCCUGCUGCAGACAGUUGACCAGUGAAGAGACAACUGUUGCUCGGGCCCAUGGAACAAGAACAUCUGUAAACCCAGGCGGAGUUCCCAGGAGGGUUUGUGAAAUGCUAGAGCAGGAAGAGGCCUUGGGACCCAGCGGGUUCGGCCACCUUGCUUUACAUCUGAGAAAAUUGAGGCCCAGAGAGGUCAGAGUCAUCCAAAGCACCAAGGCUGGGGUCCCGGAUUUGCACCCAGCAUGGACACCCACUGUACAGUGCCCAGAAAUGGCCAGGACCCUUCAAAGAAGCUGAGCUAAGGCUGGGCCUCCCCUCUCCUACAGCAACUCGGCUGACUGUGUGUCUGUGUGUCUUUGAAUUUUCCAGGACAGUGAAGCCAGGUGAGACCCUCAGAUUCCACAUAAAAUGCAUCCCAACAAAAGUUGGACCCAAGAAAUUUAUCAAGUUUAGUUCUAAUCAGGUGAACAGGUACUCACUGAGAAGACAGUUCUCAUGGCCAACUAACCCCUGCCUGAUGCUGUGGAAAAGGCAGGAGUUCUGACUGGCACGGAGUCUUGGCUGAGCUCUCCAGCAUUUCCUGCUUUGGGAUUAGCUUUCAGAUAGAUUUUAUUACUCUUUAGAUUUCAGAUGAUUAGAUUUGAUUGUUCAUAGGAGGGGGGAUUCAAGAGCCAGCUGAGUGAUAGAGUUCAAAGGCCAACACUAACCCUAGGCAGCAGGACCCACCAAGUCAGGUGAUGUGCAAUCACAGGAAGGCCUCAUUGACAGCCUGGGCCACAGAACCCCCUGCCCCACCCCCGCCUUGAGUCAUAGCCUUAAAGGGCAGGGCUACCACUAUCUGCAAUCAGAACCAAAGUAGUCCACAGC